rnacentral:lncRNA from 1 species
AUUCUCUCUUUGCCUGCUGCCAUCCAUGUAAGAUGGGGCUUGCUCUCCACCAUGAUUUUUAGGCUUCCCCAGCCAACUGAAACUAGUCUUUUAGAAUCCAUUCACAGGACUUGAAUCCUGGAUCUGAGUUUGCAAAAGAAAUGAAGCUAAUGAAAGACAAGGAACUUCUGGUCUUAGUUGAGAUGCAAAAAGAAUUUCAAGGAGAAGUCAAGGAACAAAAAACAAUGGCCAAAAUCAUGCUCUUCCUCACGGAUGACUUUACUUGCUUUCCCCACCAACUGAAUUUGAAAUCACUGUUAUGUGCUCCCAUGAUACCUUUAACUCCAUGAAUUUCAUCCACCAUAUAAUAAGGUAGAUGAUAUUCAUUUCCCACCAGGUGAAAGCUCUCAAGUCUGGAAGUCCUAAAUCAAGCUGAGGGCUGAGCCACGCUUCUUCCAAAGCUUCCAGGAGAGGACCCUUCUUUGCCUCUUCCAGCUUCUGGAAAACAUUUCCAUCUGGCUUUCCUCUGUCUGACUUAAACAAUGAUUUUCCAUCCUACCUGAACAUUAUAAUCAUCUGGAAGA